GUCCUUAUCUUCCAUGUUGAUCGGGGCUGCUUCGCUCGCGUCGUCCUCCACGUGGGAUCUUGCUGCUCCAAUUGUCUGGACACGCAGG
rnacentral:pre_miRNA from 1 species